rnacentral:lncRNA from 1 species
AAAGCAUGUAUUAUUAUAUCACUUAAGAUAUUUAACAAACUACUAAACCACACUCUUUUCUUCUUGCAUCAAUUGGCUUGAGGCAGAGCAUCAGAAACAGUAAACAUUUGUUUUACUUUGAAACAAUUAAUGUUAAUAAAAGGCGUCAGGAUUAAUCUGAAAGAAAAAAGAUCUUUGAAUCUUUCAUCCAGAUUCCCAAUGUCAUUAAUAUCAACAUAAGCCCAGAAGACUCUUAAACUCUUUGGAGUCUCUUCAAGAUAUAGACUAGUUGCUUGCAAUUAGAAUCCAGAUUAACUGGUGCCUAAUAUUCCUUGUAAAAAUAAAAAUGCAAACAUAGAAGUACAAAACUAUUCUGUUAGUAAGAGAAUCUACAUUAAUCAUUAAAAAUUGAAUUCAAAAUAAAUUGCACAGAGACAAUAGCUUUGUUCAUUACUCUUACUUUGUUUAAGGGUUCAAAUUUGGUUUGGGUUUAAGAUGCUCAUAUAUCUGUGUUUAUAUUUUAGUGCAGGAUAUUCAGAAUUUUUUAUCCUACAACAUUCUCUAACAGGUUGUAUGUAUUAUGAAGCUUGACAACCAACCAGAUGAGCAUGGUUGAUUAAGUUACCCUACUUCCUGAUUUACGUUACUAAAGCUUUUGGAGAUUCCCAAGUGGAAUAUAUAAAACAAAGCAAGAAAGUCCUGUUUUAUUCCACCAGGAGGAAAAUCAGUAAAUGUUAUCUAGCCCUUUAUAUGGAACUUUCUAAUAUGUUCUUUGGAGAGGACCGAACCCUGCAUUCAAUUAUGCAUGAUAUGCUGCAGGCACUCCAAGAAUGAGCUUUGGGGUAUUUAAGGGAUCCACUAAAGCUCAGAAAUAAAACAUGGGUCAUCUAGAACA